CAGUCGCCGCGGUAAUACGAAGGGGGCUAGCGUUGUUCGUAUUUACUGGGCGUAAAGGGCGCGUAGGCGGACUGAUAAGUCAGGGGUGAAAUCCCAAGGCUCAACCUUGGAACUGCCUUUGAUACUGUUUGUCUUGAGUUCGAGAGAGGUAAGUGGAACUGCGAGUGUAGAGGUGAAAUUCGUAGAUAUUCGCAAGAACACCAGUGGCGAAGGCGGCAACCUGGUCCUUGACUGACGCUGAGGCGCGAAAGCGUGGGGAGCAAACAGGAUUAGAUACCCCAGUAGUCCCUGUCUCUUAUAC
rnacentral:rRNA from 1 species